GACGAACGCUGGCGGCGUGCUUAACACAUGCAAGUCGAACGGAAAGGCCCUGCUUUUGUGGGGUGCUCGAGUGGCGAACGGGUGAGUAACACGUGAGUAACCUGCCCCUGACUUUGGGAUAACUUCUGGAAACUGGGGCUAAUACCGGAUAGGAGCUCCUGCUGCAUGGUGGGGGUUGGAAAGUUUCGGCGGUUGGGGAUGGACUCGCGGCUUAUCAGCUUGUUGGUGGGGUAGUGGCUUACCAAGGCUUUGACGGGUAGCCGGCCAGAGAGGGUGACCGGCCACAAUGGGACUGAGAUACGGCCCAGAAUCCUACGGGAGGCAGCAGGGGGGAAUAUUGCGCAAUGGGCGGAAGCCUGAUGCAGCAACGCCGCGUGCGGGAUGACGGCCUUCGGGUUGUAAACCGCUUUCGCCGGUGACGAAGCGUGAGUGACGGUAAUGGGUAAAGAAGCACCGGCUAACUACGUG
rnacentral:rRNA from 1 species